AGCGAACGCUGGCCGCAGGCCUAACACAUGCAAGUCGAACGAACCUUUCGGGGUUAGUGGCGGACGGGUGAGUAACACGUGGGAACGUGCCUUUAGGUUCGGAAUAACUCAGGGAAACUUGUGCUAAUACCGAAUGUGCCCUUCGGGGGAAAGAUUAAUCGCCUUUAGAGCGGCCCGCGUCUGAUUAGCUAGUUGGUUGAGGUAAUGGCUCACCAAGGCGACGAUCAGUAGCUGGUCUGAGAGGAUGAUCAGCCACAUUGGGACUGAGACACGGCCCAAACUCCUACGGGAGGCAGCAGUGGGGAAUCUUGCGCAAUGGGCGAAAGCCUGACGCAGCCAUGCCGCGUGAAUGAUGAAGGUCUUAGGAUUGUAAAAUUCUUUCACCGGGGACGAUAAUGACGGUACCCGGAGAAGAAGCCCCGGCUAACUUCGUG
rnacentral:rRNA from 1 species